UUGAAACCUCAAAACCCAGCCCCAGUGACACAUUUCCUCCAACAAGGCCAUACUUCCUAAUAGUGCCACUCCCAAUGAACCAAUGAGGCCAUUUCAUUCAAACAACCACAGCUGUGGAAGAUGGACAUGGGUCCUUUGGUGACCAAGGUCACCGAGAAGGAAGUACAGCAGUGUGUUUUGCUUGCGUGUACAUAUGUGUACCGUAUGCAUGCAGUUCCUGUGGAGGUCCGAAUAAGGAUUGGGUCUCCUCGAACUGGAGUUAUGGGUACCCAUGAGCUGCCACAUGGGUGCUGGGAACCAAGCUUUGCUUCUCUACAGUAAGUGCUCUUAACCAUGGAGCCAUCACUCUAGCCUUCUCCCUGGUUUGUUUGUUUUGAG